rnacentral:rRNA from 1 species
GACGAACGCUGGCGGCGUGCUUAACACAUGCAAGUCGAACGGAAAGGCCCUGCUUUUGUGGGGUGCUCGAGUGGCGAACGGGUGAGUAACACGUGAGUAACCUGCCCUUGACUUUGGGAUAACUUCAGGAAACUGGGGCUAAUACCGGAUAGGAGCUCCUGCUGCAUGGUGGGGGUUGGAAAGUUUCGGCUGUUGUGGAUGGACUCGCGGCUUAUCCGCUUGUUGGUGGGGUAGUGGCUUACCAAGGCUUUGACGGGUAGCCGGCCUGAGAGGGUGACCGGCCACAUUGGGACUGAGAGACGGCCCAGACGCCUACGGGAGGCAGCAGUGGGGAAUAUUGCGCAAUGGGCGGAAGCCUGAUGCAGCAACGCCGCGUGCGGGAUGACGGCCUUCGGGUUGUAAACCGCUUUCGCCUGUGACGAAGCGUGAGUGACGGUAAUGGGUAAAGAAGCACCGGCUAACUACGUG